rnacentral:rRNA from 1 species
ACGCUAGCGGCAGGCUUAACACAUGCAAGUCGAGGGGUAUAGGUUUUCGGACCUAGAGACCGGCGCACGGGUGCGUAACGCGUAUGCAAUCUACCUUUUACAGAGGGAUAGCCCAGAGAAAUUUGGAUUAAUACCUCAUAGUAUAAUGACUCGGCAUCGAGAUAUUAUUAAAGUCACAACGGUAAAAGAUGAGCAUGCGUCCCAUUAGCUUGUUGGUAAGGUAACGGCUUACCAAGGCAACGAUGGGUAGGGGUCCUGAGAGGGAGAUCCCCCACACUGGUACUGAGACACGGACCAGACUCCUACGGGAGGCAGCAGUGAGGAAUAUUGGUCAAUGGGCGCAAGCCUGAACCAGCCAUGCCGCGUGCAGGAUGAAGCAUCUAUGGUGUGUAAACUGCUUUUGUACGAGAAGAAACACUCCUUCGUGAAGGAGCUUGACGGUAUCGUAAGAAUAAGGACCGGCUAACUCCGUGCCAGCAGCCGCGGUAAU